UUUUCUAGACCCCUCAAUCCCCAGUCGACUUCUCUGUGCGAGGUCCAAGGGUCAGUGUCAGUGUAAGCGAUGAGAGUGGAGAAUGUGAGAGUCCUAAAUGUGGGCCUGCAGUAAAGGGAGAUGUGUUCCCAUCAUUCCAUGAGAAACUCUGAAGGAAGAUUCCUUGGGAGCACUGGCACACUUGGAGAUACUGUGCUAUUGGAGAGUUGUGAACUCUUCACGGGCAAAGAUGGGAUCUGAUUGUCAUUCAAAACGCAGUGCCUAAUUCAAUGCCUGGCACAUUGUCCGGUGAAUGAACUUAUUAACCCACAACAAAAUGUAACUGCAGGAGAGACCAGAAUAUUCUUGGCCAUU
rnacentral:lncRNA from 1 species